rnacentral:rRNA from 1 species
AUUGAACGCUGGCGGCGGGCUUAACACAUGCAAGUCGAGCGAGGGGCGGACGGGUGUAUAACGUAUGGGAAACUGCCUGAUGGGGGGGGAUAAAUCCUGAAAACGGUAGCUAAUACAGCAUACCAGCAAAUGUGCCCAGGGGGGAUUAGCUAGUAGGUGGGGUAAGGGCUCACCUAGGCGACGAUCCCUGGCUGGUCUGAGAGGAGGACCAGCCACACUUGGACUGAGACACGGUCCAGACUCCUACGGGAGGCAGCAGUGGGGAAUAUUGCACAAUGGGCGCAAGCCUGAUGCAGCCAUGCCGCGUGUUUGAAGAAGGCCUUCGGGUUGUAAAGUACUUUCAGCGAGGAGGCGUUACUCGCAGAAGAAGCACCGGCUAACUCCGUGCCAGCAGCCGCGGUAAUUC